CUACGGGGUGCACCAGUGGGGAAUAUUGCACAAUGGACGAAAGUCUGAUGCAGCAACGCCGCGUGGAGGAUGACACAUUUCGGUGCGUAAACUCCUUUUAUAUAAGAAGAUAAUGACGGUAUUAUAUGAAUAAGCACCGGCUAACUCCGUGCCAGCAGCCGCGGUAAUACGGGGGGUGCAAGCGUUACUCGGAAUCACUGGGCGUAAAGCGCAUGUAGGCGGACUUGUAAGUUGGAAGUGAAAUCCUAUGGCUCAACCAUAGAACUGCUUCCAAAACCGCUUGUCUAGAAUAUGGGAGAGGUAGAUGGAAUUUCUGGUGUAGGGGUAAAAUCCGUAGAGAUCAGAAGGAAUACCGAUUGCGAAGGCGAUCUACUGGAACAUUAUUGACGCUCAGAUGCGAAAGCGUGGGGAGCAAACAGGAUUAGAUACCCGCGUAGUC
rnacentral:rRNA from 1 species